rnacentral:rRNA from 1 species
CCUACGGGUGGCAGCAGUGAGGAAUAUUGGUCAAUGGACGAGAGUCUGAACCAGCCAAGUAGCGUGAAGGAUGACUGCCCUAUGGGUUGUAAACUUCUUUUAUAUGGGAAUAAAACGUUCCACGUGUGGGAUUUUGUAUGUACCAUAUGAAUAAGGAUCGGCUAACUCCGUGCCAGCAGCCGCGGUAAUACGGAGGAUCUGGCCUUUAUCGGGAUUUUUUGGGUUUAAAGGGGUCGUGGGUGGAUUGUUAAGUCAGUUGUGAAAGUUUGCGGCUCAACCGUAAAAUUGCAGUUGAAACAGGCAGUCUUGAGUACAGUAGAGGUGGGCGGAAUUCGUGGUGUAGCGGUGAAAUGCUUAGAUAUCACGAAGAACUCCGAUUGCGAAGGCAGUUCACUGGACUGCAACUGACACUGAGGCUCGAAAGUGUGGGUAUCAAACAGGAUUAGAUACCCCAGUAGUC